GUAGGUUCAGGGCGCGACGGUAGUUCAGGAAUAAGCACCGGCUAACUCCGUGCCAGCAGCCGCGGUAAUACGGAGGGUGCAAGCGUUGUCCGGAAUCACUGGGUGUAAAGGGUGUGCAGGCGGGGCAACAAGUCGGAUGUGAAACCCCAUGGCUCAACCAUGGAGGUGCAUUCGAAACUGUUGCUCUUGAGUCCCGGAGAGGCUGUCGGAAUUCGUGGUGUAGCGGUGAAAUGCGUAGAUAUCACGAGGAACACCAGAGGCGAAAGCGGGCAGCUGGACGGGUACUGACGCUCAGGCACGAAAGCGUGGGGAGCAAACAGGAUUAGAUACCCUGGUAGUCCACGCCGUAAACGAUGAACGCUCGCCGUUGCCCCGCUCAAGGGGCAGUGGCUAAGUAACGCGUAAGCGUCCACCUGGGGAGACGA
rnacentral:rRNA from 1 species